UCAGGCUAAACACAAAUAUUUUAUUCUGUAAUAAAUGGCUGCAGAAACGAAACAUUUAGAAGUACAUGGAAAAGACAAUAUGGAAAAUGGAGGGGCAGCUAUAAACUAUAAAAAAAAAAUAAAGUAAUAUAGUUAUUUAUAUAGAUAUGAUGUAUAAGUAACCCAGUUUGUGACGAUGAUGCAACCCUGUUCUUUUUUUUUUAUUUUCACGCGUUUAACACUUCGCGCUCACUGGUGUUAUCCUUCUCAUUAAUCAACGUUAUGGUUUAUUUAUUAUACGCGCGUUAAAGCUGUGCAGAAGUUCAAAUAUUUACAAAAACUCAUUCUCUUCUCUCAGACAGCUUUAAGACUUUUCGAGACUUGUAUAAAUUUAUAGAAUACAAACUUAAAAGGAAUUUAACGAAUGCUCGAUAAAUUAAUCAAUCUUGGAUCUGUGAUAUUAAAUGGAAUAUAGAAAAGAAAAUUUAGUAGAAGAUUUAAAUUUAAGAAUUUAAUAAAAUUGACUCUCAGAAAAUUGAAAAACCAGUAGGGUCAUUUCACCAGUCACAAAAAAAUGAACAAAUAAGAAAUUGAACCAGUCAACGGACAAAUAAAAAUAACUUAAUAUAAUUACAUUUUUAAGUGAAAAAUAAUGUUGAUUAAAUUUGUAUAAAAGGAUGUCGGGUAAGAUAGGCCAAUUUUAGGUUCAGAAGUGGCAAGUAAAAACGACGAAGUAAAACGAUGUUUUAUUGUAUUUUUUGAGCUUCAAUUUGAUUCUGAUCUUUUACAAAUUUUAAUUUAUCGGGAAAAUAAUAAAAUCAGCACAUCAUUAAAUAUACAAGAAGCUAUUAUGAAAACAGUAUGUUAAUAAAAAUGUCAAACUGUGGUAAAAAAAAAUAAUAUUAAGUGAAAAUUAAUCGAUAUGUGAAUAGCAUAAAUUAAUAAGUGAACAGUGAAGAACGCUUUAUUUGAUCAAAACGGAUCUUGGUGAUUAAAAAAAUAUUUUUUUGUGCGAAUAUACAUAUACAUAUAGUAAAAGACUUCUAAUAAAUUUAUAUAUUAUACAUAUAGAGGAAUAUGUAUAUAUUCCUCUAUAUGUAUAAUAUAUAAAAGAAAAAAGAAAAAUAGAACAAUUAUUCUUGCUCAGAAUCACUCUCACUAUCAACAACAUUAUUUUAAAAGAUGUUUGACAUGUUAAACAUUUAAAUGGAUGUUUUUUCUUUUACUAGAGAAAGAAAUCAGAAAAUCAUAAUAUUAAAUUAUUAUCAUAAUAAUGUGGGAGCAACAUCCAACAACCUGGUGACCAACAAGGUUGCAUCAACAAGGGCAGAUUACGGAAGACAUUUCUCUCUUAUUAAGAAACAUAAACGUACGGUAUAUCGUAUACAGCAAGGUUUUUUUUAUAAAAAUAACGCGUUAUCUUGGAAAGUAACGAAUUUUUCGUGACUUUCUUUUGAAACUUUUAUGACUCUUUUUAUAAUGUCUAUGUAUUCAAUUGACUAUGUCUCUAUUUGACUUUAAUACGAUUUUGAAUAAUCGUAACAUGGUCCAUUUGCAUAUAUACGUUUAUAAAAUAAUAAUAAAAUUUGUUACUGUGAAAAUAUAACGACGUCAUUGUUAACAUUACAAAGAGAAAAAAAAACAAUUGUUACUUUUUUUGAUAAAGUAGGCCAGUCACUAAUGAUAUCGAUGUGACAAGUAAUAAUAACGCGUUACUUCUCAACCUAUUAUAUAAGCAGUAAAACACAAAUUAACAUGUUCGUAAAUAAUAAUAAUUUACAAUACUAAAUGUUUAAUAAGUUCAUAUGCUGAUUUUAAUACUUUCCCGAUAAAUUAAAAUUUUUUACAGAUCAGACUCGGAUUCAACAGUUCAAAAACUACAAAAAAAAAAACAUACCAAGUCUACUUCCCACUCCAUAUUCGAGAAAAAUGGGGCCAUUUUACCCGUCGUCCUUAGAUCUAAAAAGUAUCAAUUUGCAAUUUAUUAUUUAAAAAUCUUAUUUCAGCAUUUUUCUUCAACAGUCAUUUACUGGUGAGAUUGGUCAACGACUGAUAGAGUAAUUCUACGAAGCGUCAUUAAAGUUAGCCAACUCGUAAUUUUCUGGUUUAUUCUUUCGAGGAAGCAGAGUCCCGCGUAUCUCGCCCCUCUGUCUACAACCCCGCUGUGAAUCAUCACGAUAAGGAACCAUGUCGACCAGGUGGUCUGCCCCGCGUCAACGCUACUUGCGCGCGCGCGUGCUACGCUCCGUCACCCUGACCUUUGACCGUGUGUUCGUGUGCACUAUGGAGACGUUAUAAGGGUUCGACGUGUUCGCUGUAGAAUCACCAUCUAGCUUGGAUUACCGACGGGGAAGGUGGAAAAGAGUUCCUGCGAAAGAAACUACAGCGGCGAUGAUAGCGCGCACUCUUCUGUGCGCAAGGUAUAAGGGGUUGCGGGGAAUGCAAGUGAUGCAUUUUGUAUUCAAGCCGCCACGUGCAAACAUCAUGCUCGGAGCUAUCCUUCUAUCAGCCGGCAAAUGUAAAGAUACCUAGCCAAAUGUGCGCAAGAUUGAACCGGGAAAGAAUUACUACUAAAACAUCGAAAUAUCUUCUUAAGCCACGGAGCCACCUCAAGAGACGUGUACCAUGGGAAAAAUACGUAGAAUUUUUAAAGAAGAAGUUGCGAAACAAUAGGAAUUUGAUAUAUAAGAAAUAGGAUCACAUCAUAGAAUUAUCUAAUAUCACAGAAAUAAUAGUAAUUAUACAUUAAUGCACAAUAAUCGAUUGAUUGUAAUUUAAGAUAUUUGAAUAUAUAUUUACAGGCAUAA